GUGGAUGUCUGCGGGCCUCAGCGACUUCACGAGGGAUAGGCCUGAACAAGGAAGCCCUCUGGAAAAUUCCUGCACAUCACACACUCACACACACACACCUUGCACAUCUGCUGUGUGUUUUGGAGUGUUACACUGCUUGACUUUUUGACAGACACAGAGGGAUUGACACCUCUGUGUACCAAACCAAUCUGACUCUGCUAAAAAAUAGAUACUUACACAGAUGGACAGAGCGAUAAGACGUCGAGGGGUCUGCAUAGGGAAAGCUGCUCUUCAGAGGAGGAGAGCAACACAUCCACACAGCAGAUAAUCUGCAGCUUCGACACACAAAUGCAUACAGAUUCAGAGCUGUGGUGGUUCUAAGGGCAGACUGAGGGCAGACACAGGGCAGACUGGUGCCAGAUCCCAGUGUAAGAGAAAGAUACUAAUCAAAGCAGUGGCUAUUCUGCGCCUGUCACUCCCAGCAACAGGGCCUGUAUCCUGCUCCACAUCCACCUGCAGCCCUGGGGGAAAGACUCCACGCUCCGUCAAGCCCUCAGAUAACCUCACAUCUAAACACACAUUCUCCGACUUUAAAAGGAGAUAUGGAAAACAUGAGUACAUUUGUGUUUUCAAUCAAUCAAUCAAUCAAUCAAUCAAUGUGGUGAUCUGAUUUCAACGCAUCUGCCAGGUAUUUAAUCAGCUAUUUAAUCAGUCUCCAACAUAUCAUUACAGUACAUUUCCAUGAGGACAAGCACAAAAACAAUGCAAAAUAACUGUAGUAGGGCCUGGAGACUUGUUUGGGGGUUGUUCUGACAUUGCUUCAACAAGCUCUGAUGCAUUAAUGAUUGCAAGCAUGUGGCAAAAUGUAUGUAGAUCACAAAAACAGGUUUGCCACUCCCUUUCAACGAAAUACAAUAGAAACAUGCUUGGUCAAGCCACCGGGACAAAAGUCUAUGUGUAAAUGUAAACAUGGCCAAAUAGUUUCAGAUUUGCUAUAUGCUGAAAAAAAACCAUAAAAGACAAAUCAGUGUAUUUAUUUAUUUUAUUUUUUUAGCAACAAUGACUAAGGUAGGAAUUCUCAAAACGCCCAAGUCAGACAAAAUAAAAGCAUCUGUCUCGCUCACAGCUAUGUCUGGAUUCCCUUCUCGGGCAAGAUCAACACGUUUAGAGACAUCAAAGGCAAACCUGAUACCUUAAGUAUAAGAAGAUUAACACUUGCAGUGAUCUGCAGCUUAAGACUCGAAGACUGCGAAGACUUUUUUUGGCAGCCAGUGCCAGGAGGGACAAUCAUCAAUGACUUGGCACCGGUAUCUCCACAUUUAUUUAACACAGUCUUAUAUGGCGCGUAAACCCACGUCCAUGAAAUGCCUUUUCAAGUUACAGCCUAGUGUUGCAGGGCUAAAAUACGAUGAGUAGAGUCACCGGAUCAAAGCUGCAUGAACAUGCUAUCAGGAAAAGAAGGUGCAACUGAAAAAAAAAAAGCGCAAAUAACAGCCCUCACAAAACACUAUUGUAUUGCAUUCAACUUGCCUUUUCCACCUCGUGUCACUUUCUUUCAUUCAAAGAUUAUGUCAAAAUAUAAGUGCACCAAUCAUGCUGUCAAGUGCCUCUGGCUCUGAGGAAGCAGGUGUUGUAGUUUUACAAAUGCACACAAAGACUGACGAAUCAAAGCUAUACAGUUUUGCUAAUGCUCUUGCUGUAGUUCGGCAGUUUUAUGCGUGGUUCAUAUUGUCGCUAUUCAGCAGACAUGUUAAGUCUGAAUAAGGUGUGUUGAGGAAUACAAAAGGUUGCAGACAUGAUACAUCUGUCAAAAGGUAGUGUCAAUUACCAGUUGGCAAAAUUAUCUGGAACAUUGAGCCUAUAAUUUGGAACAGUUAAAAUGUCUAACUACUAAUCAGGGUCAGUCCACUCAAAGUAAUCAUUUGCCUGAUCCACAUCUGUUCAGGGCUUUUCUAAACAAUUUACAAAUGUAAAAAUGUAUUUUCAGACUUGAUUUUCAAGAACACCCUUUACAUUGUAAGCGUCUGUGUAAAAUAUACACCUAGUUCCUAAAAUACUACGAACCUGAGUAAAGAGUACUAAUCUGCAACACACUUACUAAUUGCCCCUACAGAUAGUGGGUGUAUUGCAUGUGAUUUAUUACGAAUAACUGGAAGGCAGGUAGAGGGAACAAUAUUUAAAUGGUUUUUUUUUUUUAUUUAUUUUUUUUUUUUGUGUGUGCAUGUGCUAAUUGUUCUUAAUAGCAGUGACAAGUAUGGAUCUGAAAAAGCUCUCUUAGAAAUGUCCCACAUCUAAAAAGUCCCACACUUAAGAUAAUUAUAUGUCAUGAAGGCAUAUAAUACAGGCAUAUGAUACACCUAGCCAAGCUGUUCGAAAUACAGUACAACAUGAAUACAAAACAAAACAAUAAAUAAAACCGGUUUGAGACAUAAAUGUGUGUUCUGUUCACAAGGGAACCAUUUCACAGGCCCUUUGAAACCUGUCGGCAGUUGAGGUGUGAACCUGUGGGGAAAUAUAAUACGGAACUUUUCAGAAGAUUUGAUAUUAGAUUUCAUCUAUUUUGCUUUGGAGAUUUUGUGAAAGUUUCUCACAAUUUCGAGAACAGAAUGGUUGUUUUAUUCCUUCAAAUGGCAGAAAGGUUUACACAAAUUUAUACAUGCUGUGUGGCUGUUGGUAGUAUUCAUUUGCACACACACAACCACCAUUCCUAAAGUGAUUUUCAGGCUGCGUAAAACACACCUUGAGUGCUAAAGUAAUUUAUAUGAAUUGAGACCACCCUGUAUUUUGUAUUCUUAGGUAGAAAUUCCCCAAUUUGAAUGACAGAAACCUCUGUAGACCCUGUUAGUGCAUCAGCUUACAACAUUUUUGCAGGUGUCUUUAAGUUUGUAUAAGUUAUAAACCAUCCAUGAAUCAGGACCAUAAACUAGACCUAUCUGCUUAAACUAAUCUCAACUCUAGUGUCACGCAAUUUAUUUUUAACUUGGCCCAAUUUUCCAAAAUGUCUCAAACUUUUUAUCUGCGUGAGAGAGAAUGUUCAGUGUGAUGCUUGCUCUACCAUUUUACCCAUACUGGUGUGAAAACCAUCCCAGAUUCGAAGGAGUAAUUUUUGGACCUCAUUAUAUUUUACAGUACCGAUGGAAUUCAGCAAAUGGUCCAGUAUGGAGUCAUGCCUACA
ensembl:lncRNA